UACGUAGGGUGCAAGCGUUGUCCGGAAUUAUUGGGCGUAAAGAGCUCGUAGGCGGUCUGUCGCGUCGGCUGUGAAAACCCGGAGCUCAACUCCGGGUCUGCAGUCGAUACGGGCAAACUGGAGUACUGCAGGGGAGACUGGAAUUCCUGGUGUAGCGGUGAAAUGCGCAGAUAUCAGGAGGAACACCGGUGGCGAAGGCGGGUCUCUGGGCAGUAACUGACGCUGAGGAGCGAAAGCGUGGGGAGCGAACAGG
rnacentral:rRNA from 1 species